rnacentral:sRNA from 1 species
UAAAACGACCGUAGACAGUAGGUGCCUUUGGCUUAAAGCAAUGCCUACCGAGGAAGUGACUAAGUACGUUGAUGUAUUCUCACUCUCUGUCUGCAUGUCAGGGAGUUUUUUAAAUAGA